GAACGCUGGCGGCGUGCCUAAUACAUGCAAGUCGAACGCACAGCGAAAGGUGCUUGCACCUUUCAAGUGAGUGGCGAACGGGUGAGUAACACGUGGAUAACCUACCUCAAGGUUGGGGAUAACAUUUGGAAACAGAUGCUAAUACCGAAUAAAACUUCGUAUCGCAUGAUACAAGGUUAAAAGGCGCUACGGCGUCACCUAGAGAUGGAUCCGCGGUGCAUUAGUUAGUUGGUGGGGUAAAGGCCUACCAAGACAAUGAUGCAUAGCCGAGUUGAGAGACUGAUCGGCCACAUUGGGACUGAGACACGGCCCAAACUCCUACGGGAGGCUGCAGUAGGGAAUCUUCCACAAUGGGCGAAAGCCUGAUGGAGCAACGCCGCGUGUGUGAUGAAGGCUUUCGGGUCGUAAAGCACUGUUGUAUGGGAAGAACAGCUAGAGUAGGGAAUGACUUUAGUUUGACGGUACCAUACCAGAAAGGGACGGCUAAAUACGUGCCAGCAGCCGCGGUAAUACGUAUGUCCCGAGCGUUAUCCGGAUUUAUUGGGCGUAAAGCGAGCGCAGACGGUUGAUUAAGUCUGAUGUGAAAGCCCGGAGCUCAACUCCGGAAAGGCAUUGGAAACUGGUCAACUUGAGUGCAGUAGAGGUAAGUGGAACUCCAUGUGUAGCGGUGGAAUGCGUAGAUAUAUGGAAGAACACCAGCGGCGAAGGCGGCUUACUGGACUGUAACUGACGUUGAGGCUCGAAAGUGUGGGUAGCAAACAGGAUUAGAU
rnacentral:rRNA from 1 species